rnacentral:misc_RNA from 1 species
GGAGGAAGGCCAGACCCUUGGCAGCUCCAAGAGCGAUCUUCAUUCUCGUCGACCAUGGCAAUGGGAUCGAAUAUUUUUUGAAAAGUUGAUUCUCCAAGCUUCCUCUGGGCAUAUACUCAUACACAAGCAUCCUAUGUUCGUCUUCGCAGCAAUAUCCAAUUAGCUUCACUAGAUGAGCGUGCUUAAGCUGUCCUAGAAAAAUCACCUCCGUCAGCCAUUCUCUGUGGCCUUGUGUUCCAUCCAAAUCGAGGAGUUUAAUAGCGACGGGCUGAGGAGACAAGCCAGGCCUGAGAUUGUCAUCGAGGAAUCCUUUGUAGACGGGGCCGAAUCCACCUUCUCCAAGGAAGUUUGAGGAAGAAAAGGUCUGAGAGAUGAGCUUCAAUUCGGCGAGAGUGAAAGCGUGGAU